UCCCUGGUGGCUCAAACAGUAAAGAAUCUGCCUGCAAUGCAGAAAACCCGGGUUUGAUCCCUGGGUCGGGAA
rnacentral:tRNA from 1 species